rnacentral:lncRNA from 1 species
CCCCUUUUUUGGCAUCAUACGUUAUUAUUCAAUCACAUUACAUUUGUUUUAAAGAAUAUGCCACACUAAAGCAUUAAAAUCAUUUUAUUCCGUAAAUAUUCAAAAUACUUAGUGUAAUAGGCCCAAUUUGCCCAGCCCAUAAUCAAAUCAAAAUAAAAAAAAAUAUAAACCAAACACAAAAAUUAGUCCAUUGGCCCAGAACAUUAAACCCAAAUGGCCCAAUUGCACUUAGCCCCGUUUACUUAAGCCCACUAGCCUGAAUACCCGCAUAAGAGAACAAGAGACCCUAGGGUUUCUGCAAACUCUAGCCGCUGCAGUCAAGCUGAGCCUCCUCCUGCGCAUGUUGCGUUCCUGCGCGUGCAGCGCCUCCGCGCCAGGUCCACACGUACCUUCUCCAGGCUGGCAUCGUACCUGCACAACGGAAGCAACAAACCAGCAACGCAAAAGAAAAACAAAAAAAAUAGCAAGCAAAUAACAGAAAUAGAGAAGAGAUUUUGGAUUUUUUUUUCGAUUUUUAUUUUUCUUCUAUUCGAAUCGGCUAUAUAAGGCCGAUUCCAACACUGUAAACGGGUUACACACACACAGAAUAUCAAUAGAAAAAUCAGACAAAACAAAAGCUGCGUUUUUGGAAGGUGAUUUCUUUUUAAAGUUUUUUUUUUCUUUAUCUAUCGUUCUGUUCUUGUUUCUUUUGGGGAUAUACCUGAAAUAAAAAAGGAAAAGGCAAGGAUCUCACCUUCGCAAGGACGCCAAUGAAGCCCUGUUCGCUCCGUUCAAAUCGAGGCCAGAGGGGUUUCACAUUUGGAGGCGGCAGAGGGGAAUGAUUCGGGUCUAAAGUGGCUAGGGGGACUAAUGAUUUAGGGUUUUUUAUGGCAUUUAUAUUAGUGAAACGGCACCGUUUGGGCCUUGCUUCGAUGGCACCAAAACAGUGCCGUAUUGGACCAAAACCGAUGACUCGACCCAGACACCGAUAGAUCCGCGUGUUCUGGCAUGGAGAGGGAUAUUUGCACAAAUGGUCCCUAGAUUUUUAUAGCGUGUUUAAAUAGAUCUUUUUAUUUCCUUUAAAUUUUGCCCCGCUUUUUAGUAUUUUUGUUUCACUUUAAUCCUUCGCAUAAAAUGCUGCGUUUUGGAAGGGAGGGAAUAUUUCCCACUCGCCCCCCAUAUAAUUCGCGCGUUGUGAUAUAGUCCCCGACUUUGUUUUAAUUACAUUAAUUUCUUGUUAAUUUAGACUUAAUUGCGAUUUAACCUUUUUGACAUUUGUUUUUUUUAUUAAUUCAUUAAUUAUUUUUUUAUUAUUAUUAGUACAUUCGGUCAUAUUUUCAUUUAUGUUUUUGUGCAUUAUUUUAUUACAUAUAUUAUCAUUUCGAGUUUUAGUUAUAUUAUUAUUAUAAUUUUAUAAUGUGUUAUUUUAUUCGACAUAAUAUAUUACCGAUUACAUGUUAUUAUAUUAUUUCCACUCAUUUCAUACAUAAUUUAUUUCAUUUGAAAUACUCCAUUAUACUUUAUUUAUUCCAAUCUUUUAUACGUACUAUUAUACAUAUACCAUUAUAUGAAGUUUUUCAAUCCUUAUGCAUUACUCAUUUAAAUUAAUAUAUGUAUAUUAUUUAAUGUGUUUUGAUUUAUUUUUAUAUAAUACUUACUUUAAAAUUUAUUUGGAUACUAUUAUUUUAUGUUGUAUUUAUUUUUAACCGUAUUAAAAAUUUAUUUCAAUUUUUUAUAUAUAUUAUUUAUUUUAAAUUUAUUCUAAUAUAUAAUUUCCUUUCUUUCAUGUUAUUGUUUAUUUUUCAAAACUUGUUGCAUUUUUUUUUGUAUUAAUUUGCUUGGAGCUUCGUUUAAGAUUAGUUUUUAGUUCAUUAGCUUUUGAAUAUUAAAGCUAUUAUUUGUAUGUGAUGUGAGAUAAUUGCUCUUACGUGUAUUGUAUUGUUUGCUCAUAUCUAUCGCUUCUUUGUCGUUCAUUCGCGUACAUUUUAAUUUACGAAUCACCAUUCCGCGUUGUAUGUUAUUAUUUGAUUGUUUUAUUUGUUUAAAAGAUUACGUUUAAUAUCAUUCAAGUAUCGAGAGCUUUUUUAUUCAAAAAGUUUUUAAAAAGAAAAAUAAUAACGCGACACUCGGGAUUUGUGAUCCUCGAAAAGAUUGUGUCCUAACUCACUGGAUUCCAAUCUUCCUCGGGAUCUAAGAGACCGAAUAUUCCUUUUAAUUAACAUAAAUAAAAAGCUCAUUCUCGAGAAUUCGAUAUGUGGUGUCCUAACAUAUUGGAUAUGACAUAUUGUUCUCUCGAGACGAGAAUUUUUCUAAUAAAUGAAAAUAAAGGCAAUAUUCGAUAUUUAGGAAUUUUGUGAAAUAGAGCCCUAACUUACUGGGUUUUGAUUUUCUCAUUUGACCCAAAUAAUCAAAUACCCUUCUCAAAAUGCAUAAGUUUUAAAGGUCAAGAGAUAAACUUAAUUUUGAGGAUUUAAAAUGUCGCACUCUAACUCACUGAAUGUGACAAUUUAUUUCUUCGAAAUAAGUGAUCCUUACCAUCCAAUUCAUUUUACCCAAAUUUUCUUUUCAAAGGAUCGUAUUUUAAAAUCUUUUCAAAAUUUCGACAUUAAGACAUUAAACAAUCAAUUUGGUACCAAUUUUGGGCGUCACGAGGGUGCCUUCCUCGUGCGUAACCGACUCCCGAACCUGUUUUCUCAAAAUUCGCAGACCUAAAAUCGUUUUAAUGGUGAACCGGUCACACCUUAAUAAAAGAUCGGUGGCGACUCCUACUUUUCAUUUUUAAAAGUCGAUUCCCCUUUUCAAAAAAAUGGUUUCGACACUUGGUGUUCACGAUUUUCGAGAGAAUGGCGCCCUAACUUAUUGGGCUUCAAUUCUUUUCGUUAAAUUUAGAUAUCCGAGUAUCCCUUUUUAAAUAAAAUUGUACAGAUUCUAAAGAAAAGUUUUUCGGGAUUUCAAAAUGUUGGAUCCUAACUCACUGGAUAUGACAUUUUGCUACCUCGAAUUAAGGAUUUUCAAAAUAAAGGCAAUAUUCAGUAUUUAGGAAUUUUGAGAAAUUGAACACUAACUUACUGGGUUUUGAUUUUUUUAUUUGACCCCAAAUAACCAAAUAUCCUUCUCAAAAUGCAUGGGUUUUAAUGAUAAACUUAAUUUUGAAGAUUAAAAAUGUUGCGCCCUAACUUACUGGAUGUGACAUUUUAUUUCUUUGAAAUAAGAGUGCCUUAUUAUUUAAUUCAAUUUAUUCGAGUUAAAAGGAUCGUGUUUUAAAAUCUUUUCAAAUUUUCGACAUUAAGACAUCAACAAUCAAUUCGGUACCAAUUUUGGGCGUUACGAGGGUGCUAACCCUUCCUCGUACGUAAACGACUCCCAAACUUAUUUUCUCAAAAUCUCGCAGACCAAAAUCGCUUUUAAGGUGAACCGGUCACACCUCAAUAAAGAUUGGUGGCGACUCCGAAUUUUUUUUAUUUUUAAGUCGACAACUAAACUCUUUUUGUUUUUUCAAAAAAAGUGGUUUCGACAAAACCCAAAAUCCAAUAUCCUACUUCCAGCAUACACCACACAUGAGUAAAUGGUAAAGCAAAACAUGUUUCCAGGAAUAGAAGUAAACAGAUUGUUGCAGUGUACAAGCUGCAGUGUUUGCAAAAGCCAAUCAUGAAAAUAUUGGUCAACAGAUUGUUGCAGCACAUCAAAAUCUUCUUGUAAAAGAUUGUUGAUAUUAGCAAGAAGUAAACUUUGGCCUCUAGCCUUAACAAGUAAUGUGAUAAGAGAAGUUUCCAACCUAAGUUAAGUGUUAAAAAAUCAUAUAAAACGAAAAAGAAAAUGGGGGAAGCAAAUGUUUUAGUCGUUCACAUCUGAGCCUAAGAAUCAAAAGAAGUUUAUAAGAAGAAACUCAUUAACAGACAUUACAAACAAUAGGCUAAAAACAAACAGAUCUGAUAAUAUGGGUCAAACCAUUUAGCCAAUGGAACUGAUUGGUCAAGAAAUUUACAUUAGACGUUUCUAACUUAUGAACUUUGAAUAAUGGAUGAGGACCAGCAUUUGCAACUCCAUGAUACCAUGAUAUUUUACCAUUAAAAUGGGGUUUAAAAUUUUAAUCAAUAUCUUGUGAAGUGCAUUGAUUCAAUUAUGUUAACCAUUGUAUCAAAUAUCUAUUACAUGAAUGAACUAAUCCAUCCAGUACUAACAAAUUCAAGAACAAAACAAAUAUUUUCAAGCCCAGUCCAAAUACAAGAAGAAAUGAUCACUCCGGAUCUCAUCAACAAACAGAAUGAAAGCAAAAUAAGACAAUGAGAGAGAGGAAGAUUGAAACAAGAAAGCAAGAAAGGAAGAUUGAAACAAGAAAAGAAGCCAUAGUUGAAAUCAUUUGUCUCAAGAAAUACCAGCUUAAAUCAACAGCUUCAAACUCUUAAUAAGAUCAUAGAUGAGUAGAGGAAAUUAAGAAGCUGCUACCCUCCGCAUUAUAUGCCUGUUUAGGACAUAUUAAACACCUGCACUAACUGAUUGGUGGGGAUCUAGCAAUCACUAAAGCAAAGCAGAGCAAAGCAGCAGUUGUAAUGGCCCAAAUUUGAGGUUAUCGGAACAGUGGUUUCGGGACCACAAAUCCGAUGAAAAAAUUUUUAUUUUUCUUAUAUUUUUAUGGUCUAAAAUUUCACAAAAUGAUUUCGUGAAAAUUUCGUUCGAAAAUUUCGACGUUUGGGCACUCAAUUUAGUCAAAAGGACUAAAUUGUAAAAAGUGCAAAAGUUGAGUUCUACAUGUUAGAGGUGUCCAAUUGUUAUGAAACUUUAAAUUGGAGGUCCUUAUAUGGUAAUUAUACCAUUGGUNNNNNNNNNNNNNNNNNNNNNNNNNNNNNNNNNNNNNNNNNNNNNNNNNNNNNNNNNNNNNNNNNNNNNNNNNNNNNNNNNNNNNNNNNNNNNNNNNNNNAAGUUAGGGGCAAUUUGGUAAUCUAGUAAUUAAAAUGAAUUAAAAGGGAAAAAGAUGGAAAAAAUCAUCAUCUUCUUCAUUAGGACGAAAUCAGCAAGGGGGGAAGCCAUAGUUAGGGUUUUCAAGCUUCCAAGCUCCAUAGUAAGUGAUCCCAAGUCCCGUUUUUAAUGUUUUUUUACGUUUUUGGAGUCCCGGUAGCUUAAUUUAGCUUAUUCUAGCAAUAAUUUAACCUAGGGUUUAUAUUUGGAAAAAUACCCAUAGGUGAAAAGUGUUUAUUUUGAUGUUUUAUGAUAGAAUAUGAAGCUAGAAAUUAUGUUAAACAACUUUUGCUAAGCGAUUUUAAGUGAAAACGAGUAAAACGACAUAAUCGGUAAAAAUACCUAAUGUUCAUAAGUACAUGUUAGAGUGGGAAUUUGAUGUUGCCAUAGAAGGGAAAAAUGUUCAGAAUGUUAUAAAACAUAAGAAUAAGAGAUGAAUUUUAAUUUCCGAGCCUUGGGGAAAAAUGUAAUUAUGUAAAAGUUUAGGGGCAAAAUUGUAAUUUUGAAAAAGUUAGAGUCGAGGGCUGUUUUGAUGAAUGUGAUUAUUAAAUAAGUUAAAUUUACUAUUUUAGAUCAAGAAGUAUGAAACUCGAGGUUAGACAAAGGGAAGAAUAAAGUUGAAGACUAAGUUGGUGAAAUUGGCUAUAAUUGGUACCGAGGUAAGUUUACGGUAAAUAAAUGCAAUAUUUCNNNNNNNNNNNNNNNNNNNNNNNNNNNNNNNNNNNNNNNNNNNNNNNNNNNNNNNNNNNNNNNNNNNNNNNNNNNNNNNNNNNNNNNNNNNNNNNNNNNNNNNNNNNNNNNNNNNNNNNNNNNNNNNNNNNNNNNNNNNNNNNNNNNNNNNNNNNNNNNNNNNNNNNNNNNNNNNNNNNNNNNNNNNNNNAUGGCAUUGGCAUCCUUAAGAUCAUGAGAGGUCCCAUGUAAGAACCAAGUAUGGGACCUGGCGUUGGCACCGAGAUGAGAGUUCCCAUGUAAGACCAUGUCUGGGUCAUGGCAUUGGCACCGAGAUGAGAGGUCCCCUAUAAGACCAUGUCUGGGACAUGGCAUGGGUACCAACAUGAGAACAUCCCAUGUAAGACCAUGUCUGGGACAUGGCUUUGGCAUGUUAUUAUCAGAAGAGACCCGAGUAUCCUUAUUAUUCCAAUGUAGCUCAACGGGCUUGUAAACGAAUCAUGUUCAUGAAAGUUCAGUUUAAAGCAUAAAUGGCAAGCUCAGGUAAGUUGUAAGACUUAAGAACUUAUUAUACUAUCAAUUGAUGUUCAACGAUGCAGCAAGAGUUGAGUAAGUUAUGCACACAAGUAUUCUAAGUAAACAAGUAAGAGAACUAGUAUGAGAUUAACUAAAGAGUAAACUAGAGAUAUAGUCACUUGAGUUUAAUUAUUUGUGUGUAAUGUUGUUAUUUAUUUGCUAGUAAACUUACUAAGCUUUAUGCUUACUUCUUUUAUUUCUCUUUCUCUUAUAGUAUUGCAAAGCUACUUCAAGGAUCCUAAAGAAGUCGGAGAUCGUCCACACUAUCAACCACAACUGCUCGGUAUUUUAUGUCAAAACACGUUUGAGUUAUGGCAUGUAUAGGGAUUUAGUUAUUUUGUAUGUUUGUAAUGAUGAUUUUGCUAAUGAGUGAUGUGUAAGUAUUUGAUGAUGUAUGGUCAUUAAAAUGGUUAAGGAUGAAGGUGUUUGUUGUUAUGAAAGAUUAGGUGAUAAAUUAUGCAUGGAAAUCAUGAAAGGAUAAAAUUUUGCAAAGAAACAGAAUUCAGGCAGCACAGUGACCUGAAUUUGAAAAAUCACCUAGGAUGGUAUAAAAUGAAUUAGAGGGUGAAUGAUAUAUGGAAUUAAAUCUUGUUGAGUCUAUUUUCAUGGAAAAAUAACAGUGUAGCAAAAGGAAAUUUAUAUUUUAAGAUAUGUGAAUUUUAGUAAGAUAGGGUCAGAACUGUUUUUGGAGUCCCCUGUUCUGAGUUUAGAAAAUAAUUAAAAAUUGUACAAAAAUGGUUAUGAGUUGAAAUUUACAUGCUUAGAUUCCUUAAUGAGUCUAUUUUCUGUAGGAACAAGUGGGAAUAGCAUAUGAAAAUCCUAUAACAAGAAAAGUUAUUUUUAGUAACAAGAGGUCAGAAUAGUUGAAUGGUGAAACAGGGGAGACUUUAACUAAUAAACUGUACUAAUUGGCUGAACCAAAAAUUCUAAAAAUUUUAUGGUAGGAAGAUAUAUGAGUCUAGUUUCAAGGAAAAUUUACAGAGUUAAAUUUUGAGUUCCGUAGCUCAAGUUAUAAUUAAUUUAGUGACCGCUGCGCAAUUGGACAGCUUUGCUGUAAAUAGUGAAAAUAAUUUGCAAAAGUAAAUUUUUAUGCUCCGAAUUAGUAAGAUAAGUUAAGUAAUGCCUCGUGCUCGACUCCGGAAAUGGUCUCGGGUAAGGGAUGUUACAGCAGAGGCACAAAGCAAAGCAAAUCAGUAAAGCAAAAGAGGCAUAACAGAAAAAAGGAACACUAAUUCUGAAAGAAUUACAACACAAGUUCGGACAUGACAACACAAGUUUAGCAGCAGAAAGUUAUCAGGAAGGAACCAUGAUUCGAUAUAUCAUUAUUUAAAGAAACAGUCAUCCUUUACCAUUACAACUAGAGAAUCAUAUGCCUUCUCUAGAAUGCAAACUUUAAAUGGGAAGGGGGGAAGAGAGCCUAGAAGCGCAAUCAAUAACAGUUUAAAUCUAUACUCCAAUCCAGAACCUAAACUAGAUGGCAUCAGUUUCUCAAGAGACAUCUCAUAAUGAUGCUGCCAAAAAAGAAACUAAUAAUAAUAAAGAACAAAGAUGCAAUAAAGGUUAAGCAAUUUAUCAGGCUAGAAAUCUUGGUGAGGGAAUUCAAUAGACUAAGCUAAUGAAGACUUAUUUUUCCAUCAGAGAAGAAAAAUGUAAGAUGUGUGAUUCUACCACAUAUUAUCCCAGAAAAAGAAUACUUCCUCUUCAAUUGAUUUUCAGAUAAUGCUAAAAUACGGAGCCAAAAUACCACAAAAUUGCAAUAAAAACAAAACCCACUAGCUACCUGUUAUUUGAAAUAAAAUUGAUGUGAUAAUCAUGAGCAUGGCCGUAUACUCGUCGACAUCUAGCCACUAGGUUGGUCUCCUGACUUGUUACCUAGAUAUAGUGAAGAUUAAAAGUUAGUGCAGAGUGAUCAAGAAGCAUUUAGACAACAAAAGAAAUGUUCCUGAUUACUCAAAAACAAAAUCCUAACACUCUCCUCCUGCCAGAGAAAGAGAGAGGAUGGUAUUCUGAAUGUGGGUUUUGAAUGGGAGAAGAAAAUCCUCCAAAGAGAAGCACCGGUGGUGGAGAAGAGGAGAAAAUAUACAGAAGAAAUAAUGAUAAAAAUUAAUCCCAUAAUAAAGACAAACAAAAAUAUACAAAGAAGAAAAAGAUAAACUCACUGGUGGUGGAGAAGAGGAAUAAAGAACCGGCAGAGGAACAAAGAACCAGCAAUGAAAAGAGAUGGAAGCAAAGUGCAUUUUGGAUGAAAACAAAGAACCAGCGUUGUUUGUGUGUUGUGUGGCUAAAAAAGUAAAAGACCAGCCCAAAAGCACUUCUUGGCUGAAAAAGCUAAAAAAAUCUCUUUUUUCAUUUGCCCAAAAGCACUUCAAAAACGCUAGAAAUUUGCAAGAGAUGAAGUUCGUUCUUUAUUACUUUUCAGAGAAAAGUGCUUUUACAUAUAAAAGCCCAUCUCAAAUGCAAUAAAAAAAGAAGCCUUACUCCCUCCCAAGUCCCACCCCCAAGUUCCUAGACACAGACUUUUUCCUUUGGACUAUAGCCCAUCGACACACUAUUUGGAAUUAAAACCCCAAUGCAAACAUGGGCCAGUUUACAACUGUGCCAAUGUUUGGGUGAGCUUAAUGGAGUGGGCUACUGCACCUACAACAAUUCGGUUUAUUGCUUUGUUAAGGCCUCAGAUGCUUCUGAAAUUGAUGCGUGCAGCACUCAACUUCAAAGUCGGCACCUCUUCUAUCUAUCUAUAUAUUUUUGGGCUCAAAUGAAAAAUGGGCAAAUAUUAUAAAUAUUUGAUCAAACUUCCAUAAUAAUUAAGUUUUGCUAAUUUCAAUUGUUUCUUUCUCCUAGUUUCAAUACAAUAUUGAUAGGUUUCAGGUGGCUUGAAACCUAAAACUGAAAAAAAAGAUACAAUCGAAACUAGUUAUUAUGAAAGUUUGAUAAGAUAUGGAAACUAUUUAUAAUAAAAAAUAUAUGUAGAAGACGACACCUAGAGGUACCGACUUCAACUAUUUCAAAUCUAUUUUUGCUAAUUAAUCUUUUUAUUUCAGAUAUAUGGGAAAAAAGCCGCAUGUUUCUUUCCCCUAGACUUGUUUUUGGUGCCCUCUGGCUAAAGAUGACUAUUCCACUCUCUGGCUGUCAAGUGGUAAGUUAUAGAUAGUUACAACUUAGCAAUAAAAACCACUAAGUUCCACUUUUUUCUCAGUCAACGGUGCCUCCAUCUCUAUCAAUCAUUGCUCCUUCACAGACAGGUACCAUAGCACCGGGUCACAAAGGGAACAUCCUUUUUGUACGAAAACAUGGCGUGAAUCUUGCUAGAUAUCUUCUGAAGCUUGUCGGAUAGUGAAUGGAAUUGGUCUCCAAAGAUAAAAGACAUCAUAAGGCACUGAAAUCUUGAUGGUGGUCCACGUUUAAGUUAAAUACUCAACAUUAAUGAACAAAAAGAAGUGUAAAACUCAACAUUUACUUUAUCUAUUUAUAUAUACUUCUUAGGUAUAUGUAACGCUUAAUGGUGGAUAGAUGUAAAUGCAAUAUCUGUUUUUGAAAUUGUUUAAUGGCCGUCGCCUCAUCAAGUGUCCUGUAAGUAGAAACAUGAGGCUUCCACUACUUUCCCUUUCCACUAAAUAGUAACUACAAUUUAUUGUGAUCCAAUAUUGCAACAGUAAUGAGUACUAAAUAGUAAGUAUAAGCUUUGCUUCUGAAAGCAAGGUUUUGUCAUUAGAACAACUUUUGUGUCAACCCCUUCACUGCCAAUUAAUAUGAGUUUCAGAACAUUCUCCUCUUUUUUCAAACCUUUUUAAAAUUUUUUUUAUUUUUAUUUCCCCGAGAAUUCAGUUCAGUGCAUGAGAAUGGUGAGUUAUGUCAUGCAUGAGGUAUUUUAUUAUAUAGAAAAUUCGGUUAAAAACAAACAUUUUCUUAGUCAGCCUCCAUCUUCUCUUGUGUUCAUUAAAAGACAACGUAUCCAGCAACUUUCUUUGACCAUAAUAAUAAUAAUGCUUCUUAGUUCAUUUCAUUAUUCUAGCUUUGGCGGGUAAAACUUGGAUGUCAACCUUCAAUCUGCUUAGGUGAGGCGAGAAAAAUAUAUAAGUCAACGUUGAAUCAUGCCAGAACUGUGGGAUAUGAUUAAUACUGGUGGUCAAACAUCACCCACCAAAUGAAAUUAUUGAUGAACUUGAACUUGAUUUUGCAAAAGCACUCAUAAAUAGUCAACCACUCAACCAGCUGAACCAAGCCAUUUCGAAGUCAACAUUCAGCUCUGUAACUCUUGUCUCCAGCCACUGUGAUUUAAUUUAUAUGUAUUAUAUAUAGGGAACUGAAUUCUAGAGGCCGGCAUACGAGAGCGAAAACAAAAGAAACAUCAAAAUGUUAGUGUCGUCAACAAUGCAUCUAUUAAGCAUGUGUGUCCUGUCUUUGGUUUUAUCUUGCUGUCAGGGAAGGGAAGAUCCGAAUUUCCGGAUUCGAGCAGUUAAUCUAGGAGGUUGGCUUGUGACCGAAGGUUGGAUUAAACCUUCCCUUUUUGAUGGCAUCGUCAACAAAGAUUUUCUGGUUUGGAGAUUAAACCCUUUCUUUCAGAAUAACCAUUCACCACUAUAUACAAAUUCAUGAAACAAUAGAAUACAGUAUAUAAUUAACUCCAGUUCUAUUUCUGUGCUUCAUUGAUAUGAUGAUCAGGAUGGAACUGCACUUCAGUUUAAGUCAGUAACAACCGGGAAAUAUCUUUCCGCCGAGCAAGGUGGAGGAAGUAUCAUAGUUGCCAACCGGACAACUGCUUCUGGUUGGGAAACCUUUAGAGUAAUGGAAGCUAUACUUUGGUCUGAACAAGUUUUUUCCUAUGUUGUUUCAUUAAUUCAGGGUUUGUGACUUCAAAUUUGUUUCCCCACUGGUAUGAAACAGCUGUGGAGGAUCAAUGAGACAGCUUUUAAUUUUAGGGUCUUUGGGAAGCAAUUCAUUGGAGUUGACACGGACGGGAAUGGGAUUGGCAUAGUAGCUAUCUCAAAAGCUCCUGGACAUUCAGAGACCUUCGAGAUUUUGCGGAACUCCGAUGAUAAGAACCGGGUUCGGAUCAAAGCUUCAAAUGGGUACUAUUUACAGGUAAUUGUAACUUGCAAGUCUUCGCAAAAGCUUGUUAGGCCCACUAAGAAAGACCUUUCAUUAUCCAUCUAGGUCGGCAUUUCUCUGUGGGAUGAAAGGCAGGCAAGUUUAAUUGGGAUAUUAAGACAUUGUAUUUUUUUAUAUUUGUUAGGUAUUCCCUUUCUCAACACCACUGAAAACGUGCUUUCUUAACAUAUGCAUGCAGUGUAUAAGUAAAUAAUGGUGUCCAAUUAGUGUAUGCCUUUUGAGAAAAGAUGUAAAAUGCAGGCAAAAACAGAAGAAGUGGUGACGGCUGAUUCACAAGGAAAUAAAGGAUGGGGAGACGAUGAUCCAUCAGUAUUUGUGAUGAAGAUGACAGGAAGGUUGGAGGGCGAGUUUCAAGUGACCAAUGGCUAUGGCCCUGAAAAUGCUCCACAAGUCAUGAGGGUAUGUGCUGCCCCACUAAGAUAAUUACUUUUUUUUUCUUUUUCUUUUUUGGCUUCAUUAUGAAUUUAUUUAAUUGCAUAUUAAUAAUGUUUAAAAUGUGUAAUGCAAUAUCAACAAAUUAAGCUCAACUUUAAGUUUUUUUUAAUUAAUUAGUUGUCAUUAUGAUGAAAAAAAAGAGUGGGGUGGGGGGGGGGGAUAUUUUCAACUAAUAUGAAAAACCAUUAUAAGAUGGUUUAAAAUUCAUAAGACAAAUUUGGCCUUUGACAUUGGUGUCGGCGUUGGCUGUUGACUUGAUGACGUCCAAAUGGUGGUAUGGAACAGUUUGGGUGGCUUUAAAAUUGCCAUUCCUAUCUCAUAGUUAUUGACAGAUUUAUAACUUUUAUUAUAUAGCUUGUGAUCUUAUUGGUAUUAUUUUAAUUAGUUUUUUUUUUAGAUCUUGUAAUGAUAUCGUGUGAUGUUCAAUAUUUUAUCUUAUUCUUAGGAGCAUUGGAGGACAUUCAUUGUGGAAAAAGACUUCAAAUUCAUAUCACAAAAUGGGCUAAAUGCUGUGAGAAUACCAGUAGGAUGGUGGAUCGCCAGCGAUCCGACACCACCUCCGCCCUUUGUUGGCGGCUCGUUGCAAGCAUUAGACAAUGCCUUCCAAUGGGCAAAGUAAGUUCCUUUUUCUUCCCCUGUAAACAACUAAUUUUCAUCAAUUCACUCAAACUGAAUCUUAUCAAUACGAUAUUCAUAUUCCCCAAUGAAGUUACAAAUUUUCCUUCUUUUUUUGUGUGUGUAGGAAAUAUGGAUUAAAAGUUAUAAUUGAUCUACAUGCUGCACCUGGUUCACAAAAUGGUUGGGAGCACAGCGGUUCCAGAGAUAGCUCCCAGGAAUGGGGCAAAACAGAUGAAACCAUAACCCAAACAGUAGCUGUCAUAGAUUUCUUAGCAUCCAGGUCAAAACAAUGAAUCCAUUUUCUUCAUUGAAACUCAAUUACAUAAUUAGUUAUCAGCUCUAACUUCAUUAUGAAUUAUGAUGCCUUUUGGUCCUUGAAUAUAGAUAUGCAAACAGCCCAAGCCUUUAUGCAGUCGAGCUCAUCAACGAGCCCCUCUCACCGGGAGCAACACUGUCGAGCGUGAUCGAAUACUACAAAGCCGGUUACGCAGCCGUGCGUAGGCACACUUCAACAGCUUUCGUGGUGAUGUCGAACAGGCUAGGACCGAUGAAACCGAGGGAGCUGUUUCCGAUCGCCAGUGGCUUUAAGCGAUCUGUUAUUGAUGUACAUUAUUACAACCUUUUCGAAGACAUGUUUAACAACAUGACUGUCCAACAGAACAUUGAUUUUGUAUACAACAAUCGGUCCUCGCAGCUGAAUUAUGUUACGACAUCUAAUGGUCCUCUAACUUUUGUCGGUAAGAAUGGAUGGUCGGUUCUCAUGUAAAUUGAAAUGUUUAUGAUAUUCAUUCAUUAAUGGCGAGUGUAAAUGAAAUGAGUGAUGGUCAUUUUUCAGGGGAAUGGGUGGCUGAGUGGCAAGUUGUUGGAGCUGGUAAAGAGGAUUACCAACGGUUGGCGGAGGCUCAAAUGGAGGUGUAUGGGAGGGCAAGUUUUGGUUGGGCAUACUGGACUCUGAAGAACGUUAACAAACAUUGGAGCCUGGAAUGGAUGAUCAACAAUGGCUAUAUCAAGCUUUAGGGUUUAGGCCCGUCGGCUCUGGACUUGGGGCAUCAAUAGGAGCAUCUCUUGGUAGGCAAUAAAGGCUGGAAUAUUAACAUGUUCCCAAUUCUCAACCCAAAAAGCAGCCAUAAAAUAAAAAAGGCUUGUAUUUUCAAAUUACAAAAAUGUAUAUAUUAUCUUUUCAAUUUGUCAUCAUAAGCACAUCAACAAAAAUAAGAUAUGCAAAAUUGAUUGAAAUUGUCAAAGAACUCAACAUAAUAUACUAAAACAUAUAAAUAUGAGAAGUAUCAAUACUUUGUUUUGUGGUGGGAACCAAAAACUGUCCUCUUCCAUGAUAGUAUAUAAUUGCGCAACAUGUCCCCCAUAAUUUAUGGAUUUGUACCUUAUAGGUAGCACAAAUCAUGUUUCAAUAAUGUUUUGUUUUUCGUCAGUUUAUAUUUAUUGGGUCCAUUCAUUGUCAGCUGUGAUCCAAAGAAGUGAGAAUGCAUUUAACAAUCUUAAAAUGGUUGCAAAUUGUAAUUAUAUUAGUUCAAAGUAACACGAUCCUAAUUGUGUGGUAUGGACAAUGGAGAAGUGAUUUUUUAGAAAUAAAAUUUAAUAAGAUUAAAGAAAUAUUUUUAAUGGACAUAAUAAUGACGAUAAAGGAAAAAAAUACGCAUAAAUUGGUAACUAGAGUAGAAGAUAAAAAAAAUUUUGAGUAAAAAACUAAAAAUUUAUGGCAUUUACAAAUUCAUCUCAGGAUUCAUUUAAAAGAAAAAUGUAAUUUAAGCUUCAUAAUUCCUAAUUCAAAUUAAAUUUUUAAUGGAAAACAGGAAAUGAAUGUAACCAAAGUCACCAAAUCGGAAAUUGAAUCUCAGUGAACAUUAUAACAGGGAUGAAUGGGCUAAAAAGCUGAGUGGAAGAAAGGAUAUUAUGUAUUAAACAUACUACCUUAUAAAAUCAAUAUUAAAAAUACUGAAAAAAAAUCUAUCACACGCGUAUACGUGUUGAAAACACGCAUUUAGAAUAUAUAUAUACGUAUUUUUAAAAUAGUAUAAUAUAAAUAAUAAAAUAUAUGAUUUAGAACUAAUUAAUAAUAACACACGAGUUAAAAUAAAAAUUAGAUUAAAUUGUAAGUAAAACAAAAUUCAAACACUUGAAUACAUCAAAUUAAGGUUACUAAAUAAUGCAAUUAUUUAUCAUAGUGUUGUCAUCAAUGCUAAGUCGGGGUUGAGUUAAUUUAUGACACUAUCUCAAUCAACAAUAUUAUUAAUACAAUUGAUGGACGUAAUAAAGCGCGCAUAAUAAAAUUAAAAUGUAUAAGUAAAUCAAAAUAAAUAUUUGAUUGAGUGGUAAAUUUAAAGUUUUCUAAAUGUAAUUGAUUGACAUUGGUCCAAAUUGCACCAUAUACAUAUUUUUAUUUUUUUAAAAUUAAAAGGGCCAAAAUAUCCUCAAGUAAUAUAACCUUUUUUAAAAUAUAAAAAGGUCAUUUUUAUAAAUUUCCUAACUGAGUUGGAACCCGAUUGACUUAUGAUACCAACUUAAUAAAAGAUUUUUAUUAAUAGUAUAGAUCUCAAAUAAAUGAAAUAUAUAUAGACUAGAGGUGAUCAUGGGUUGGGCUACUCAGCCCGGCCCGAAAAAUGGGAGGGUUCGGGUAAAAAUAUAGGCUCGAAAUAUGGUUUGGGCAAAAAAAAGAGGCCCGUUUAGAAAAUGGGCCGGGCUUCGGGUAAAACUGUUUUGGCCUGGCCCGGCCCAGCCCGAAUUAUAUAUUAAAUAUAUAUAUUUAAUAUGGGUCGGGCUCGUGCUUAACAAUUUUCUUUCGGGCCUAUUUUGAGUCGAGCCAGGCCCAGACCUAGAAAACAGGUUUAAAAUUUUGUCUGAGCCCGACCAGGUUGAUCACCUCUAAUAUAGACAAACUUAAAUGGAUUUAAAUUUAUUAUUUACAAAUAUAAAUAAAUUUAAACAAAAUUUAAAACUCACAUCUCGAAUCGAAUCAAACUUAAACAACUAUUUAUAAUAAAAAUAAAUCGAAUUUAAAUUUAACCCAACCCAACCCAACCCAACCCAACCCUUAACACCUCUAACAUUAGCGAAGAUGGAGUAGAUUAACUUGUUUAGAAGGCACACUGUACGAACAUCUCCCAGUAGAGAGAGAGGAAACGUAGGUCACAAGCAAAAUAAAAAAUAAAAAUCACCUUUGCUUUUACAAUUUCAUUUUCCAAAAAGAAAGUUAUGAAGAAAACAACAAUUUGUUACACUAAAAUGGACACCUCAACUUCUGC